ACCAUUGCAAUACUUCUUUAGGUUAAAGUCUCUAAAUUUAUUUUAUUUGAAAAUAUCUAGAAACUGCCCCAGGACAAUAACAAUUACACCCUCACAGAGAACAUCUCAGUCGUCCUCCUAUCUCACAUGACACUGUAUCUGCCUGUGGAUCUCCACAGUUGAGAAGGUGAUAUACAUUUUGGCCCAGCUCACAGGCACUAUGAUAAAUCUUAUACAUGAGCCAAGCCAAAAGGAGAGAUUUUGACUCUCAUAGCUAGGCUUCAAGCAAUGGGUAAAGUCCUGGAUCUUCUACUUUUAUGAAGGUCAAAGGAUUAUCUCUCUACUUUGCACCUAGGUGAUAUAAAUCUUUUCCCCUACUUAGACCCUGCUCACAGGUAAGGUUAUAACAUAUCACUAAGCCUGGUACUUAAUGAUGUGACUCUCUGAUCCUGUUUGUGCCCUGCCCUCAAGAAGCAUUGUGACAUCACUGGGCUAAGCAACAAGGUAAUCUUGCUUAUGUGUGUCUUCUGUCUAGGCCAUGUGCACAGGGGGCAUUGAGAAAUAUCUCUGGACCAAUCACCUAAAAGAUGUGACUCUCCUCACUUGCCUGGACUCUGCUCAGAAUAGAGAUUUCGACACAUCAGUGGGUUCAACACCUAGGUGAUGUGGCUCUUCCUUCUUUUCUGGGCUCUUCCAUCAGAGAAGAUUGUGACAUUUUCUGAGCCCAGCACUCAAGUGAGGUGACUUGUCUCCCUGGACUCUCCCCACAGACAGCAUUGUGAAAUAUCUUUGGGAUCAUCACCUAGGUAAUGUGAAUCGCCUCUGCUUCAUGGGCUUUGCACUCAAAAGGGCUUGUGAUUUUCACAGGAAGCACCACCCAAGUGAUUUGAUUCUUUUGGAUGGGGGGCUGGGAUCUGCCAACAGGAAUAAUUUUUACAUAUUGCUUGGCUAAACCCCUAGUUAAUAGGACUCUUCUCUCCUACUUGGGCCCUCCCUGCAGUGUGUUUUGUGUCAUAUCUUUGGGCUGAGCACGGAGGAGUUGAGACACUCCUUCCUUGGCACUCCCCAAAGGGAAUAUUAUUACAUAUCUUUGGGCCAGUCACAUAGGUGAUGUGACUCUCCUCUAUUGCCUGGAAACUUUUUACAGUUGGGAUUGUAACAUAUUGCUGGGUCCAGCACCAGGUGAUGUUAUUCUUAUCCCAGGGCCCAGCCCACAGAAGAAAUUGUGGCAUAUCUCUGGGCCCAUCACCUAGGUGAUGUGGUUCUGCUCUUCUGCCUGGACACUUUCCCCAAGAGUAAUUGGGACAUAUUGUUGGGCCCAGCUCCCAGGUGAUGUAACUAUCCUGCCUUGGCUCUGUGCACAGGGGGGAUUGUGACAUAUUUCUUGGCCAAGAAGCUGGGUGAUAUGACUCUCCUGAAUGGGCCCUGCUCCCAGAGAGGAUUGUGACCCAUCACUGGGCCAAUCAUGUGGGUGAUGUGUUUCUGCUCUGUUGCCUGGGCUCUGGCCAAAGUAAGAAUUGUGACAUAUAGCUGACCCAGCACCCAGGUAAUUAAACUUUUGUGACUGGUCCCUGCUCACAGGUAAAAUUGUGACAUAUAUAUAGUCACAGGUUAAAGGUGAAAUGAUGACUGUCAUACAUGGGAUCCAGCUAAGAGAAGAGAUUUUGACCCUCAUAGCUAGGGUUAGGGCAACAGUCAUGGUCCUUGGUCUCUUACUUUAACAAAGGUCAUAGUGUAUUAUGACACCAAAGCACAUUGUAUAAAGCCCUCAGGUGGUACAGAGUGUAUCAUAACAGGACCCACACAAAGGUGAGGUUGUGACUCUCAUAUGUACAUCCAGCUGACAGAAUUGUCAUCCUCACACAUGGCCAGUAC
rnacentral:lncRNA from 1 species